CGGGACGGGUGAGUAAUGUAUGGGGAUCUGCCUGAUGGCGGGGGAUAACUACUGGAAACGGUAGCUAAUACCGCAUAAUGUCUGCGGACCAAAGCGGGGGGACCUCCGGGCCUCGCGCCAUCAGAUGAACCCAUAUGGGAUUAGCUUGUAGGUAAGGUAACGGCUUACCUAGGCGACGAUCCCUAGCUGGUCUGAGAGGAUGACCAGCCACACUGGAACUGAGACACGGCCCAG
rnacentral:rRNA from 1 species